rnacentral:rRNA from 1 species
UACGUAGGGUGCAAGCGUUAAUCGGAACUACUGGGCGUAAAGCGUGCGCAGGCGGCUUUGCAAGACAGAUGUGAAAUCCCCGGGCUUAACCUGGGAACUGCAUUUGUGACUGCAUGGCUGGAGUGCGGCAGAGGGGGAUGGAAUUCCGCGUGUAGCAGUGAAAUGCGUAGAUAUGCGGAGGAACACCGAUGGCGAAGGCAAUCCCCUGGGCCUGCACUGACGCUCAUGCACGAAAGCGUGGGGAGCAAACAGG